GACGAACGCUGGCGGCGUGCUUAACACAUGCAAGUCGAACGGAAAGGCCUCUUCGGAGGUACUCGAGUGGCGAACGGGUGAGUAACACGUGGGUAAUCUGCCCUGCACUUCGGGAUAAGCCUGGGAAACUGGGUCUAAUACCGGAUAGGACCUCGAGGCGCAUGCCUCUUGGUGGAAAGCUUUUGCGGUGUGGGAUGGGCCCGCGGCCUAUCAGCUUGUUGGUGGGGUGACGGCCUACCAAGGCGACGACGGGUAGCCGGCCUGAGAGGGUGUCCGGCCACACUGGGACUGAGAUACGGCCCAGACUCCUACGGGAGGCAGCAGUGGGGAAUAUUGCACAAUGGGCGCAAGCCUGAUGCAGCGACGCCGCGUGGGGGAUGACGGCCUUCGGGUUGUAAACCUCUUUCAGCAGGGACGAAGCGCAAGUGACGGUACCUGCAGAAGAAGCACCGGCCAACUACG
rnacentral:rRNA from 1 species